UGGGGAAUAUUGCACAAUGGGGGAAACCCUGAUGCAGCGACGCCGCGUGAACGAAGAAGGUAUUCGUAUCGUAAAGUUCUGUCCUAUGGGAAGAUAAUGACAGUACCAUAGAAGAAAGCUCCGGCUAAAUACGUGCCAGCAGCCGCGGUAAUACGUAUGGAGCGAGCGUUGUCCGGAAUUAUUGGGCGUAAAGGGUACGCAGGCGGUUUAAUAAGUCGAAUGUUAAAGAUCGGGGCUCAACCCCGCAAAGCAUUGGAAACUGAUAAACUUGAGUAGUGGAGAGGAAAGUGGAAUUCCUAGUGUAGUGGUGAAAUACGUAGAUAUUAGGAGGAAAACCAGUAGCGAAGGCGACUUUCUGGACACAAACUGACGCUGAGGUACGAAAGCGUAGGGAGCAAACAGG
rnacentral:rRNA from 1 species